CCCAAGUCGGCCAUGGUGGAUGUGGCCACCACCCCUGUCUGGUCCCAGUGUUAGUUCCAGCGGGUGUGCAAGGCGCCGGGGAUGGGGGAUCCACCUGCGGCGCCGGGACGGCUGUAGCCAGCGGGCGCUCCCAGCCCAGAACGCGACCACCGCGCCAGCCCCUCGGACACAGCCGCCAUCCCACAGGACAGACCCCGCCUCGGAGGCAGAAGGGCGCCGACAGGACCACCCGUGCCCGCAGGACGCGUCCCGCGCUCCGGGAACUAUCGGAUGUGCCACAUUAAGGGGCAGACCCCAACUUUACAGAGCAACUCCUGCAGGAGCCCAGCACAGAAGCCAUCUAGAAACUCAAGAUGCUGUGUCGACACAACAUCUGAGCACAUCCACUGGGUAUUGGGAGGACCAACAUCACAGGCCAACCACCAAACCCACUAAGCGCCUUCAUUCUUGGACCUCCUGAGUGCCUACUAUGCGCCGGAUGCUGUUCUAGGCAAGAAAGGAGGCAGACAGUAAACCAGACCCGUGAGCCGCAGGAGCAGCAGGUGGCAAGUCCCAUGGACUAUAGAGGCGAGUUCACCAGGAGGACAGACGCACCAGCCAUGAGGAACAGGGCACCACUGAGCUGACUCAUGGGCACGCCUCGUUGCUGACAGUGCCCCCACCCCUGCAGGAGGCAACCAGAGAACCUUUAAAGGCAGUUUCAUUUUAGGCUUUCCCCCUAUUUCUGGGUCAGUGUUUGUUGUUCUGUUGCUGUAGAAACACCAAAACUCCAGAUUCUUUUUGACUAAUAAAUAGAUUUCUUAUGCAUGACCAUAAGCC
rnacentral:lncRNA from 1 species